UACGUAGGGGGCAAGCGUUGUCCGGAUUUAUUGGGCGUAAAGAGCGUGUAGGCGCCAGGUAGGUCCGUUGUGAAAACUGGAGGCUUAACCUCCAGCUGUCGAUGGAAACCAUCUGGCUAGAGUCCGGAAGAGGAGAGUGGAAUCCUGGUGUAGCGGUGAAAUGCGUAGAUAUCUGGAGGAACACCGGUGGCGAAGGCGGCAUCCUGGGCAGUUGCGUGACACUGAUGCGCGACAGCGUGGGGA
rnacentral:rRNA from 1 species